rnacentral:rRNA from 1 species
GUCUCUUUGUUAAUUAUAAAUAUGGAGUKGGCCUGCUCAGUGAAUUUAAAUUUCAACAGCUGCAGUAUUUUAACUGUACUAAGGUAGCAUAAUAAUUUGCCUUAUAAUUUGAGGCUGGAAUGAAUGGUUUGACGAAGGUUAAUCUGUCUCUAUUUUAUUUUUUAGAAUUUAAUUUUUAUAGUGAAAAAGCUUGAAUUUUUUAAAGGGACGAGAAGACCCUAUUGAGCUUAUAAUUUUAUUAUUACUAUUAUUAAUUGUGAUUAGUAAUAUAUUAAAUUUUAGUUGGGGUGAUUAAGGAAUAAAUGUUAAUAGUAACGUUCCUUAAAGUAAAUAUUGUUAGGUUAAGUAACCAAUAUGUUAUUGCUUAUACUAUAGUUACCAUAGGGAUAACAGCGUAAUUUGUUUAGAGAGUUCUUAUUGAAAAAUGAGAUUGCGACCUCGAUGUUGGAUUAAAGUUACCUUAAGGUGUAGAAGCUUUAAUUAGGUAAAUCUGUUCGAUUUUUAAAACUUUACA